AGGACCCAGCACCAAUGACUGCAACUCUCUUGACCAUGGUCUUCUAUAAAGUGCUUAGUAUAGUGUCUGGUGCUCAAUGAAAGCCUGUUUCUCUUCACUCUCACCUGGGAUACAG